rnacentral:tRNA from 1 species
AGGACUGUAGUUAAGUAUAACAUUUGGUUUGCAUCCGAAAAGUAUUGAUUUAUUCAAUCUGUCUUA